UACGAAGGGUGCGAGCGUUAUUCGGAUUUAUUGGGCGUAAAGGGUGCGUAGGCGGCAUGUUAAGUCAACUGUUAAAGCCCCCAGCCUAACUGGGGAUCGGCGGUAGAUACUGAUGUGCUAGAGGGUGGAAGAGAGAAGUGGAAUUCUUGGAGUAGCGGUAAAAUGCGUAGAUCUCAAGGGGAACACCGAUGGCGAAGGCAGCUUCUUGUCCACAUCUGACGCUGAUGCACGAAAGCUUGGGGAGCAAACAGG
rnacentral:rRNA from 1 species